CAUUGGUAGCCUCGCAACUUUGUACUACGAACCCCGCCAGGACCGGAAGGUAGCAACGGUAGUAGAUACAAGGUGUGCCGAGGAUGUGCU
rnacentral:SRP_RNA from 19 species